UACCAGCACCCCGAGUGGUCGGGACGAUUAUUGGGCCUAAAGCAUCCGUAGCCGGUUUUACAAGUCCUCCGUUAAAUCCAGCUGCUUAACAGAUGGGCUGCGGAGGAUACUAUAAGACUAGGAGGCAGGAGAGGCAAAGCGGUACUCAGUGGGUAGGGGUAAAAUCCGUUGAUCCAUUGAAGACCACCAGUGGCGAAGGCGGGUCUCUGGACGAGUUCCUGACGCUGAGGCACGAAGGCCAGGGGAGCAAACGGG
rnacentral:rRNA from 1 species